CAGCAGCCGCGGUAAUACGAGGGGGGCAAGCGUUAAUCGGAAUUACUGGGCGUAAAGCGUGCGCAGGCGGUUUGUUAAGACAGAUGUGAAAUCCCCGGGCUCAACCUGGGAACUGCAUUUGUGACUGGCAAGCUAGAGUAUGGCAGAGGGGGGUGGAAUACCCAGUGUAGAGGUGAAAUUCGUAGAUAUUGGGAAGAACACCAGUGGCAAAGGCGGCUCACUGGACCGACACUGACGCUGAGGCGCGAAAGCGUGGGGAGCAAACAGGAUUAGAUACCCCGGUAGUCCCUGUCUCUUAUAC
rnacentral:rRNA from 1 species